UACGUAGGGGCCUAGCGUUGUCCGGAUUUAUUGGGCGUAAAGAGCUCGUAGGCGGUUUGGUUAGUCAGGUGUGAAAUCUCCACGCUCAACGUGGAGGGGCCACCUGAUACUGCCAUGACUUGAGUCCGGUAGGGGAGUGUGGAAUUCCCGGUGUAGCGGUGAAAUGCGCAGAUAUCGGGAGGAACACCUAUGGCGAAGGCAGCUCGCUGGGACGUUACUGACGCUGAGACGCGAAAGCGUGGGGAGCAAACAGG
rnacentral:rRNA from 1 species